CCAUGUGCCGUUAGGCUUUGUGCGGUGCUUCACUCAAAAAGGUGCCAUUCAGGUAAAUUAAAAUAUGACUGGCACAUUUUUGAGUGCAGUAGUACACAACAUUUGCAGUAGUUUAAAC
rnacentral:pre_miRNA from 13 species